rnacentral:rRNA from 1 species
GUGGGGAAUUUUGGACAAUGGGCGCAAGCCUGAUCCAGCAAUGCCGCGUGCAGGAAGAAGGCCUUCGGGUUGUAAACUGCUUUUGUACGGAACGAAACGGUCCUGGUUAAUACCUGGGGCUAAUGACGGUACCGUAAGAAUAAGCACCGGCUAACUACGUGCCAGCAGCCGCGGUAAUACGUAGGGUGCAAGCGUUAAUCGGAAUUACUGGGCGUAAAGCGUGCGCAGGCGGUUUUGUAAGACAGGCGUGAAAGCCCCGGGCUCAACCUGGGAAUUGCGCUUGGGACUGCAAGGCUGGAGUGCGGCAGAGGGGGAUGGAAUUCCGCGUGUAGCAGUGAAAUGCGUAGAUAUGCGGAGGAACACCGAUGGCGAAGGCAAUCCCCUGGGCCUGCACUGACGCUCAUGCACGAAAGCGUGGGGAGCAAACAGGAUUAGAUACCCUGGUAGUCC